CACAAUAAAUUUAUCUGACUUAAAUAAUAUUAUUUGUGCUGAAAAUACAUUGUGAUUUAGACUAAAAAAAUCAAACUCCAUGAUGCAGAUGGCGAAGUCUUUCCCGCAGAGCUUGCAGAAGUGCAUGUGCCUCUGCAAGGAUUUUCACAUCGUUAAGCUCCACGAUUUUGCUGUUGUCAUCGAAGUCCUCUACGUCAUCAUCAUCUUCGAGAGGCGUAGUUGCCUCUUUUUAUUGAUGACGGCGGGUUCUGGAUUCAGCUUCUUUGAAUGGGACAGUGGAUCCGGUGCUCCAACGGCGGCAAAAUUUUGAGAGUAAGAGAUGAAAGCGACGAUGAUUUAGUAGAUGACCUGGAGCAUUUUAAAAUCCAGAGAACAUGAUUGAAUUAUUUGAAAAUUUAGUCCUCAAAUCCAAUCAUUUUAAAUAAUUUAGAAGUUGUCAUUCAACGCCAAAGCUUCUUCUCUCAUAAAUCAUGCUCUAAUGUCGAACAUACACACUAAGAAACUUACAAUAUGUUUGAAUAUCCGAUAGAAGUCUCCAAAAUCGAAUUUCGCAAACACAUCACUGAAAUGUCUUCUACAUUCUCCAUUCGAUGAGUCUUGU
rnacentral:lncRNA from 1 species